GUGCUUCAGCAGAACAUACACCAAACUUUCAAUGAUACAAAGAAGAUUAACAUGGCUCUUGCACAAGGACAAUAAGCAAAUACACACUGGGGUCGAUGUGAUU
rfam:Octopus bimaculoides Scaffold24747_contig_62, whole genome shotgun sequence.